GAAAGAGGGUGCAAACGUCGUUCGGAAUUACUGGGCGUAAAGCGCGUGGAGGCGGCCCUGCAAGUCGGGUGUGAAAUCCCAUGGCUCAACCAUGGAAGUGCACUCGAAACUGCAGGGCUAGAGUCCUGGAGAGGAAGGUGGAAUGCUUGGUGUAGAGGUGAAAUUCGUAGAUAUCAAGCGGAACACCGGUGGCGAAGGCGGCCUUCUGGACAGUGACUGACGUUGAGACGCGAAAGCGUGGGGAGCAAACAGG
rnacentral:rRNA from 1 species